rnacentral:rRNA from 1 species
CCUACGGGAGGCAGCAGUGGGGAAUAUUGCACAAUGGGGGAAACCCUGAUGCAGCAACGCCGCGUGAGUGAAGAAGGAUUUCGGUAUGGAAAGCUCUAUCAGCAGGGGAGAAAAUGACAGUACGUGAGUAAGAAGCCCCGGCUAACUACGUGCCAGAAGCCGCGGUAAUACGUAAGGGGCAAGCGUCAUCCGGAUUUACUGGGUGUAAAGGGAGAGUAGAGGGCGGCGCAAGUCAGAAGUGAAAGCCCGGGGCUCAACCGUGGGACUGCUUUUGAAACUGUGUAGCUGGAGUGCAGGAGAGGUAUGUGGAAUUCCUAGUGUAGCGGUGAAAUGCGUAGAUAUUAGGAGGAACACCGGUGGCGAAGGCGGCUUACUGGACUUUAACUGACGUUGAGGCUCGAAAGCGUGGGGAGCAAACAGGAUUAGAUACCCGUGUAGUC